rnacentral:rRNA from 2 species
CGCCGGGCGGCGUGCUAUACAUGCAAGUCGAGCGAACUGAUUAGAAGCUUGCUUCUAUGACGUUAGCGGCGGACGGGUGAGUAACACGUGGGCAACCUGCCUGUAAGACUGGGAUAACUUCGGGAAACCGAAGCUAAUACCGGAUAGGAUCUUCUCCUUCAUGGGAGAUGAUUGAAAGAUGGUUUCGGCUAUCACUUACAGAUGGGCCCGCGGUGCAUUAGCUAGUUGGUGAGGUAACGGCUCACCAAGGCAACGAUGCAUAGCCGACCUGAGAGGGUGAUCGGCCACACUGGGACUGAGACACGGCCCAGACUCCUACGGGAGGCAGCAGUAGGGAAUCUUCCGCAAUGGACGAAAGUCUGACGGAGCAACGCCGCGUGAGUGAUGAAGGCUUUCGGGUCGUAAAACUCUGUUGUUAGGGAAGAACAAGUACAAGAGUAACUGCUUGUACCUUGACGGUACCUAACCAGAAAGCCACGGCUAACUACGUGCCAGCAGCCGCGGUAAUACGUAGGUGGCAAGCGUUAUCCGGAAUUAUUGGGCGUAAAGCGCGCGCAGGCGGUUUCUUAAGUCUGAUGUGAAAGCCCACGGCUCAACCGUGGAGGGUCAUUGGAAACUGGGGAACUUGAGUGCAGAAGAGAAAAGCGGAAUUCCACGUGUAGCGGUGAAAUGCGUAGAGAUGUGGAGGAACACCAGUGGCGAAGGCGGCUUUUUGGUCUGUAACUGACGCUGAGGCGCGAAAGCGUGGGGAGCAAACAGGAUUAGAUACCCGUGGGUAGUCCACGCCGUAAACGAUGAGUGCUAAGUGUUAGAGGGUUUCCGCUCUUUUAGUGCUGCAGCUAACGCAUUAAGCACUCCGCCUGGGGAGUACGGUCGCAAGACUGAAACUCAAAGGAAGUGACGGGGGCCCGCACGAGCGGUGGAGCAUGUGGUUUAUUUCGAAGCAACGCGAGAACCAUACCAGGUCUUGACAUCCUCUGACAACUCUAGAGAUAGAGCGUUCCUCUUCGGGGGACAGAAGUGACAGGUGUGCAUGUGGUCGUCAUCCUCGUGUCGUGAGAUGUUGGAUAAGUCACGACACGAGCGCCAACCCGUUGAUCUUAGUUUGCCCAGCAUCAG